GAGGUGGGAGGGCACGUGACGCCGUUCUGAGCAUGCGUAGUGAGCGCGGGGCGGGGCCGGGCGCGCGCAGGUAGAGCCUCCCGGCAGCUUCGCGCGCGCGGUGGAGGGAGGUUACGUGUGACCUUUGGCGUGGGGGCUCGCGGAGUGCGGGUCCUAGAGGGGCAGGAGAGGACGGGUCCGGGGACCGAUCGCCGGUGGUUGGAUUGGGGACCUAUUGGUUGAGAGGGAGGGCUUUGUGGUGCGGUUCUGCCGGGGACGAACCAAGUGGUUGCGUCCGCCACGGGGUCGACUGUGGCUCCCUGGCGGGGUCUCCCAGGGCCGGAGGCUUACCCAGGGAACGAGACGAGGCCCUGAAGAGAGAAGACGGUGUUCAUGGCUGCCCAACCGAGCCCGCGACUGUGGGAAGGGAGGUCACCGGGGCUUUGCACACAGGUCGCUGCGCGGACUGGGUGAAGCACAGGAUGUGGACAUCCAUUGGGGGCCUCGAGGACCAGGCCAGAGCAGCAUGAGUGAGGCAGGAAUGGCCAGGUCCUCCCCUCUGGGUCCCUGGGGUGGGGGCGCUGGCCUGGGCUGGCCGUCCGCCUGCCCCGCAUCUGAGCAGCUGCAGUCUUGCUGUUUCUGGGGCUGUGCCUCCUCCCUCAGGAGUCAGCGUAGUUCCUUCCCCCAGAAGCCCCUCUCCAUAGGUGGGGCCCUGUCUGUGGAAGGGCCCCAUCCUUCCUGGGUGUGGAUCCCACGGAUCUACUCCACAUGUGGCCACUGCCUCGCGAGGGGCAAGUACAGGUGGUGGGGCAGGGAACAAGCCUGUCACCUGCUCUCUGAACUAUGGCCCCAGGAGGGACAGCCCACGUGGGGCGGGCCAUGUGGCCUUGAAGUUUGCUCCAGUGUUACCUGUUGCCCUGUGCAAAAGCAUCCCAGAAGUCCAUGGCCUGGAGCACCACUUACUGCCCCCUCCCAUCUGGGGGUGUUGGCCCUGGCAGGGCUGGGCUGCUGUGAUCUGUGGGCUCUGGGGAAGGCCUGUCCCGUGCCGCUUCUUUGCCCAGGCCCGGUGCCUCAGUUCUGUGGCUGGGGCAGUGGGGCUGGCCAGCUGCGUUACUGUGUGGCCUCUCCAGUGGGGCUGGCUUGGGCCUCCCCCCCGCCUUGUGGUCUCAGCAGCUGUUCUGUGGUGGCCAACUCCCCCAGCACACAGCCACGUGGCCAGGCUUCUGACCGAGCCUUGGAAGUCAAGCACUGUCAUUCCCCCUGGGUAGUGGGUGUCACAGAGAAAGUCCCAGGCCACCCCAGAUCCCAAGGGAGAGGACUUCACAGGCCUGGGGGCACUGGGAGGCCUGGUUCAUAGGGAUUAUCAUCAGAGACUGGCUGGCAAUCAGCCCACUCUGGAGGGGAUUGUGCUUCCCAACCCUGCCCUGGUGCCCUGGAGGCUGGAGAGACCACUACCAGACAGUUGGUCCCAGAAGCUGUCCCCCCAGCCCAACAGUCAGGCCAGCUGGGCCUCUUCCUCCAAGCACCCAGGGCCCCGGGGUGCUCCCGCCUGCGGCCGUGUGCAGGUGGGAACUGACCACAGAGCGUGUGCAGCGGUGGUGAGAAUAGGUGUCUGUCUGCACAGAGUGCAGCUUUCCUCCGGUUCAGGGAAGUGACAUUUUGUGACAAUGCAAGUGGGGGCGCUGGUAGUGCGGGCAUGUGCCUGCAGCAUUCCGUUCCCUCCACUGACAGCCCGGCUCCCAGUAUCGCCCCAGGAGUGGGAGGGUGCUCCAGACAGACACUUGUGCCAACAGCCCCGUCCACAGCAGCUUGAACCCUCAUGGCCCUCAACAGGUGACGGUCUCCCAAGGACCCCAGACCUGCAGGGGGCCAGGGGUCAGCCUUCAGACUUCCUCUUCUGCCUCAGCGCCCUGUGCUGAUUCCUGCCUCGACCCACUCAGCGCGGGGGCUGGAGGCCCCACGUCUGCUCGGCACCCCCAGAACAGCGUCCCACCAAAUACCAGGUGGUGUGGAAUGAGCCGCCACAGCGGGAAGGAGCUGAAAAGGCAGUGGUUCGAAACAGGCCUCGCGGAAGGGGACGUGGGAAGAACGUGCUUCUGAGCCUGCUGCAGCGUGCCCACACGCACGGUCCCAGUGCGCCUGAGGUCUGAGGUGCAAACAGGAGAGAGGGACACGGGUGUGUGUGUGAGUGUGCACACGUGUGUGCCGGGAGGCUGAACCCUGCAGGGCCACAUCUACUCUGCACCCACCUGACCUCCUCCUCCCAGGCCCGGCCCAGGUUGGGGCGGUCACCUCCAGGGUGCGUGCUCGGGGCAUGCUGUGCACCCCCGUGCCGGGCCCAGACCCUGGUGCGUGAACGGUCAUCGGUUUCCACAAGCGGGGGCUUCUGGGCCAGAGUUUCCCUCAGUUUGCAGAAAGGCGCCCCUCCCCUUUCCUGAUGCCACCGAGUGCACGACCGACCAGCUCCCCAGGGGCCCUGCGCCCUGCGCUGUUUGGCUGCUACGGUGAUGCCACCCGCCUCCCGUCGGGCCCUGUGGCCCCGGUGAAGGAGCCCCACUGACUCAGAUGAUCAGACGUGAGGGGUGUCCUCCGUGCAGAAGGCACAAGGUGUGUUCCUGCAAGGUGCAGUCUGAGGAAAAGCGGGCAGACAGACGCACAGGAGCCCAUCUCUGGUACCCCGGAAGCUCGGGGGUGGGGGCGGGGCUGGCCCCACUGGAGUCACUUCCUCCAGACGCUGAGAACAACCCCCUGGACCAUCCCACAUGCACCCCCGACCUCUGUUCCCUUUUGUUUCGACAAACUGCUCCACCGAAGGCCCCGGGAGAAAAGGGGCCGAAAGCCCAGGUCCAGUCCGCCCUCUGCCUCCCUAAGAGUCUCCAGGAGCCACUCUGGGGCCAUCAGCAGGCAGGGACACAGACGCUGUAGGGGUGACAUCCAAGCACCCCCACCUCCUGGACGUCUGGCAGGGCUCUGCCUUUCUGCUUCUAACCCCCGGGGCCCUCUCAGUCCUCUGGGUCCGGGGCGGGCCAAAGCAGACGCUCCCGGGGAAGCCACAUCCUCAGCUGCCCCAGAGGUGCCAUCUCUGGUGUCACACUGUCUACCCUGGGUGGCCGACAGGCACAGACACCCCGGCUCCUGCACUAGACACUGGGGUCCCCACGCCAGGCGUCUUAUUUCAGUGGAGCUCCUCCCACAGGAGGUUCCGGAGACAGAGCAGGGAAGACACAUUGGGACACCUGCCUGUCCGCCCUCCCGUGUGAGUGCUGGCGGGGCUGGAAACCACUUUCCUGCAGUGUUUUGUAGGCAUUGCUUCGAUGUCUGCUUACCAGCCAUUCUGGCUGCUUCACACCUCAAGCCAGUAUGAGACUUCUUCAUGUUGAUGUGGAGAAUGUCCCUUUUGGACUAGAAAAGCGUGUGCAUCUCUCUGUGUAUCGCACCAUCCAACUGCCUGUGUCUGCUCAGGAAGGUUGGAGCUGGUGCUGAGAGGGGCGGGGGUGUUGCAGCUGGUCAGGCCGGCUGUCCGCGGC